AUGGUGUCAGAUCUCAUUGAUCCGGACAACUGGUCCUGGCGACACGAGCUAGUUAGAUCAAACUUCAUUGCCCCGGAUGCAGAUGCGAUCCUCAACAUACCAAUCCGGCGUGGGGGUGGUGAUGAUUUCUUUGCUUGGGCCUUUGAGACUUCAGGCAACUACACAGUUAAAUCGGCGUACCGUGCUCUAAUGAUUCAGAACGAGCGUCUUGCUCUAGGAGAAGGGACGGAUACCGGAGCUUCAAGAGAUGAAUCACAACUGUGGAGUGCUCUAUGGAAACUCAAAGUUAUCCCAAAAGUUCGUGUGUUUGGUGGCGUGUACUUCGACGGAUUCUACCGGAUGAGUGCACACUUAAACACCGUCAUAUUGCAGUCAUCGACAGAUGCAAUGUUUGCUUGUCCAAGGAGGAAGAUCUUAUGCAUGCUCUUAUUCACUGUACUCAUGCACAACGCUUCUGGAAUGAAGCUUUUGCUUGGUUUGGCAUCAUAUUACCGCCAUUACAUCCGGAUUCUUGGUCACGGGAUAUUCUAUGUGAUACGCGGUUUCCUGAGGAUGACCGACCAAAGAUCAUCACAAUCAUGUGGACGAUUUGGCAUUCUCGCAAUCGCAUUAAACAUGGAGAAGUAG
rnacentral:rRNA from 1 species